rnacentral:rRNA from 1 species
UUAAAAAGCUCGUAGUUGGAUUUCUGCGGGGGCGGGGCGGCCGGUUGCUUAUAAGCAACUCGAGCUAGCACUUCCCCCGCAUCCUGCCGCGAACCGUGCUACCAUUAGAUUUGGUGGCGCUGGGGAUCGGCUCGUUUACUUUGAGAAAAAUAGAGUGUUCAAAGCAGGCCACACGCCUUGAAAUAAGUUAGCAUGGAAUAAUGAUAAAGGACUUCGGUUCUAUUUUGUUGGUGUUCGGGACUGAAGUAAUGAUUGAUAGGGACAGUUGGGGCGGUCAGUAUUCCAAAGCGAGAGGUGAAAUUCUUAGACCUUCGGAAGACUAACAGCUGCGAAAGCGUUCCGCAAGGAUGUUCCCUUUGAUCAAGAACGAAAGUUGGGGGAUCGAAGACGAUCAGAUACCGUCGUAGUCUCAACUAUAAACUAUACCAGCUAAGGGAUCGGCCGACGUUUACUUAUAUCGACUCGGUCGGCACCUUGUGAGAAAUCAGAGCAUCUGGGUUCCGGGGGAGUAUGGUCGCAAGGCUGAAACUUAAAGGAAUGGACGGAAAGGGCACCCCCAGCCGUGGAGCCUGCGGCUU